rnacentral:sRNA from 14 species
GUCAUGGAGCUACCAGCGGGCGUGAACAAUCACGCAGCAGUUUGACGGGUCGAUCACACCUUCGGAUGUUUGCUCCAGUCUGAAGCUCUGUG